rnacentral:rRNA from 1 species
CCGAUUACUGAACAUCAAAUGCAGGAGUUAAUUGCAGAAAACCACCACAUUUAAGGCAUCGAUUGAAGAAAACCACCUAGUCACUAAUUUUGUGCAAAAAUCACCGCGUUUCUAGUAAACCUUCUGCAAAAUGCACUGAUCAGGUGAUUUAGCCCAUUUAAUCAUUUUCUGACAGGUGGGACCGGACUCUAAGAAGCUGACUUGUCAAACAAAUUACAUACACAUCCCUGGAUCUAAAAACAAAAAGCAAUCAAGCCCCUGUUCUUGAUCUGAUCCCCUGCUCCCGAUCGAUUUGAUCCCCAGCUCCCGCUCUGAACGCCUCCCACUGGUCCGGCGGUGGACGCCGCCGGCCACUUCCUCUCCGGGCUGCCACCACUGAGAGCCGGGGGAAACGUGGCGUGAGGACGGGAUGGACGGUGAGCGUGGCCGACGCCACUCCUGCUCGCGCCGUGCGGCGGGCAUAGCUACUCGCGUCCAUCCGGUGUGCCUCCCCGUCACCUAGCCGGCGCCGAUGCAGGUGAGCAGCAAGGGCGGCGGCGGCUUGAGCUCCGGCCGCGGCGAGGGGCCCUCCCUCACCAGUCACCACGCCAACGCGGGCCAAGGAGCGGGGAUUGGGAGGCCGGCGCCGACGCCAGGGAGCGAGGGGGAGGAGGAGGAAACGAGCUCCUUGCGGAAGAACUUGGCGCCGGCGAGCUUUUGUGCGUGGAAACGUUGAACUCCGUGGUCGACACGCAGCCACCGCGGAACCUGCGGGGCGCCGGCGGCGCCGCCUCCCGCACGUCGUCCUGCCGGCCGCCGCCGUCUUCCGUCGCCUCCGGCGACAAGAGCCUCUCCGCCGGCAACUGGCGCGCAGCCGCCCCUCCGUGCACUGCUGGCCCUCGUGGUUGCGGAGAUGGCCGGCCGCUCCGCCCAGCGCGUCGCUCCGGCGUCCCUGGCCAAGCAGCGCGGUGGAGGCCAGGAACCCGACGCCCAGCGCGUCUCUGCUCGGGAUGUGGGGGGGCUGAUUGCUUUUGUGGUUUAGAUCAAGGGGUGUGUGUGUAAAAUAUUUGCUCUUAUAAUCUGGUCCCACUUGUAAGAAAGUGGUUAAAUGAGACAAAUCAACUGAUCAGUGCAAUUUGUAAAAAGUUUAUUAAAAACACGGU